rnacentral:ncRNA from 1 species
UAGUGGUGAUUUGUCUGACCGGCUUGCGGCCACGCUAAAAAACUCGCUAAAAGGUCUCGGUUAAU